rnacentral:rRNA from 1 species
UCACCUGUUUUUCAAAAACAUGUCUUAUAGAAUUUAAUUUUAAGUCAAAUCUGCUCAAUGAAAAUUAAAUAGCUGCAGUAUCAAUAACUGUACAAAGGUAGCAUAAUAAUUAGUUUUUUAAUUUAAAACUAGAAUGAAAGAUUAAAUGAAAUAUAAACUCUAUCAAAUUUAACAAAUAAAUUUAUUAUUUAAAUUAAAAAAUUUAAAUUAAUAUUAAAGACAAGAAGACCCUAAAGAAUUUAUAUAAUUUUUUUUUUAAAAAAAAUAAAUUUAUUUUAAUUGGGGCAAUUUUAAAAUUUAUUUAAUUUUUAAUUAAUUUUUUAAAUAAUUAUUUAACAUAAAUAUUUGAAUAAUUUCUUUUUUUUAAAAAAAUAAAAUAAAAUUACCUUAGGGAUAACAGCAUAAUUUUUUUUAAAAGUCCAAAUAUAUAAAAAAGUUUAUGACCUCG